UUAAGAGUUUAUUGUAAUCAAUUCAAUAAGAAAUAUUACAAUGUUACUAUCGUAAAUAGUAAAAGAAUAAAAAAUAAGAUUUAAUUAUACUAUUUAUUCUUUUAUUCUUCCUUUUAAUUUACAGUGCUGCCUCUAUGUUUUUACAAUACAAGCUACAAAAAUUACGAUAGUUGGAUUGUAAAUUUUCUGAAAUGGUAUAGUAUAUGCCAUCUGAAGCGUUUACGUAUGAAAGACAAGUGUUGUCACAAACCAUGAUGUGAUGCUUGUAUGAGUGUAUAUAUAUAUAUAAAUACAAAUGAUGACAUCUACUUUGUCUGUAUUAUUUGUGGUUCAACUAUAUAUAUUUAUAAAUCAGUUCAUCUUUAUCCACAGUGUAGUGCAGAAAUAGAGGUUAUUAUUCAUGACGUUUUUCGGACAAUUGUAAAUAAGAAAUUUAAAAUAAAAACUGUACUUUCGUCAUUACAAACCUACAUAGAUUGUGGAAUAUAAUAAUUUGGUGGUGAUAAUCUUCAUUUGUCGACAAUGAAUAAUUUUACCCGGCUUUGCGAGAGGUAAAACAUUUCAAUAACCUCAAAUUAUGGACAUUCAACAUUUCUUUAUGAUACUGAAGUUAGCAGACGCCUAAUAAUUUUUGGAUUUUUUUAAAAAUGAUAAAUUAUAGAAAAAAAGUAUUCGAAAAAAUUGCACCUAUGGUUUUUUUAAUUUUCUACAUGUGCGUAUUUUGAAUACAAAUAAAUGAGUUAUUUAUUCAUAAAUUUUAUAUAUACCAAAAAAAUAUGUUUGAAAAAAUAUUAAAUAAAUGUUUUAUUAUUACUACUUCAA